rnacentral:rRNA from 1 species
UUCGUAGGCGGUAUGUUAAGUCUGGUGUUAAAGCCCGAAGCUCAACUUCGGUUCGGCACUGGAUACUGGCAAACUUGAAUGUGGUAGAGGUAAAGGGAAUUCCUGGUGUAGCGGUGAAAUGCGUAGAUAUCAGGAGGAACAUCGGUGGCGAAAGCGCUUUACUGGGCCAUAAUUGACGCUGAGGAACGAAAGCCGGGGUAGCAAAUGGGAUUAGAUACCCCAGUAGUCCCGGCCGUAAACGAUGGAUACUAGGUGUUGCGGGUAUCGACCCCUGCAGUGCCAUAGCUAACGCGAUAAGUAUCCCGCCUGGGGAGUACGCACGCAAGUGUGAA